UGGGGAAUAUUGCACAAUGGAGGAAACUCUGAUGCAGCGACGCCGCGUGAGCGAAGAAGUAUUUCGGUAUGUAAAGCUCUAUCAGCAGGGAAGAAAAAGGACGGUACCUGACUAAGAAGCUCCGGCUAAAUACGUGCCAGCAGCCGCGGUAAUACGUAUGGAGCAAGCGUUAUCCGGAUUUACUGGGUGUAAAGGGAGUGUAGGUGGUAGCACAAGUCAGAAGUGAAAGCCCGGGGCUCAACCCCGGGACUGCUUUUGAAACUGUGGAACUGGAGUGCAGGAGAGGUAAGUGGAAUUCCUAGUGUAGCGGUGAAAUGCGUAGAUAUUAGGAGGAACACCAGUGGCGAAGGCGGCUUACUGGACUGUAACUGACACUGAGGCUCGAAAGCGUGGGGAGCAAACA
rnacentral:rRNA from 1 species